AAAAAAAUGAAUACUAACACUGUUAGUAACAGAGAUGUUGUUAGAUCUAUAACAGAUAAUCCUUCUGCACAUUAUGAAGCUUUUUUGAGAUAUCUUCAAUCUACCCAGCCUACCACAGGUAAGUUUGUAACCUACCACAGGUAAGUUUGUAUAGGAUAACUAGAUUAUCAAAUAUAAGAAUGUAUAUCUUGGUUUAAUUUAUGUUAUUUUUGAUCUUCAUUCCUUUUAUCAGUUGCUACGGUUAGUUAUUUUAAAAGCUAGUACUUUUUAAUCUGUAAAUAGAUUUAAUACCAAUUUCA
rnacentral:lncRNA from 1 species